rnacentral:rRNA from 1 species
AUGCCCACGUACCUCCUCCUCCUCUUCUUCCUCGCCUUGUGGCCACCGGAGGCGAGCGUUCACGCCGCCUCCGCCACAGUGAGCCCGUUGUAUACACUCUGCAACCAGACCACCGGCACGUACGCGACAAACAGCACUUACGGCUCCAACCUUCGAGCUCUCGGAGCGACCCUCACCGCGGGCGCCGGCACGUCGGGCUUCGCCAAGGGCAGCUCCGGCGAGGCGCCCGACAAGGUGUAUGGCGAAGUGCUCUGCCGCGGCGACUACACCGGCGCCAACUGCACCGACGGCCUCAGGGCCGCCUUCCAGGACGUGGCCGACCGCGUCUCCUGCCGGCGCGCCGUCGUCUACUACGACCAGUACAUGCUCCGCUUCACCGACGACGAGCGGUCCCUCUCGAGCCUCAGCAACGAGCCCGAAUGGUCCGCGAGCAAUAUGAACUCGGUCAGGGGCGCAGAGGCCGCACCGCGGCUGAUGGAGACGGUGGUGAAGCUGAUGAACGACCUGGCCGACCUUGGCACCUCCGGCGGCCCCAGGCUGACUAGCCGGUCCCGGUAUGCGACCGGCGAGGCGGGGUUCGGCGAGCAGGGCGUGAGCACCGUGUACGGGCUCGUGCAGUGCAGGCUGGACCUUGCCGGGCCACAGUGCAGGAGCUGCCUUGAAGGCAUCAUCAAGCAGAUGCCAAAGCUGUUCGGCGAUGCAUCUUCAAGCCGCGUCGGUGGGAGGAUUAUUGGAAUUCGGUGUAAUUUGCGGUACGAGAAGGAGCUCUUCUUUGAGGAGACAAACGACACUCUCAAGAUCGACAUGCCCAAAAAUGGAGUGAGCCCGGUGCUUAAGAUUGUCAUAUUUGGAGUUCCUCUUCUAGUUUUGCUCAUCCUCGGCUUGCUCCUAAGGCCAUACAUCGUCAAGAAAGUCAGAGAACUGUUAUUGGAGAGGGAUCUAGUCAUCCUGGAAGAGGAAAUUGUUAGUGAAAGCGACUCGAGGUUUUCACUAUUUAGAUAUUCAAAGAUAAGAAGUGCUACUGAUAACUUCUCGAAGGAAAAUAAACUUGGAGAAGGUGGAUUUGGUCAUGUUUACAAGGGUCGGUUGCCUCACGAUCAAGACAUAGCGGUUAAACGACUUUCUCCAAAUUCAGUUCAAGGAUUCCGUGAGUUCAUGAAUGAAAUCAAACUCAUAGCCAGCCUCCAGCACAAGAAUCUCGUCAAACUUCUUGGAUGCUGCAUCAAAGGCAAAGAGAGGAUACUUGUAUAUGAAUUUUUGCCAAAUGGUAGCUUGGAAGAGUUCAUUUUUGGGUCAGGAGCAAAGCGGAGCUGGCCUGUACGUCGCCACAUAAUUGAAGGAAUAGCAGAAGGCCUUCUCUACAUGCAUGACUACGCACAUGAGUGCAUAGUCCACAGAGACUUGAAACCAAGUAACAUCCUAUUAGAUCAUGAAAUGAAUCCAAAAAUUUCCGACUUUGGGAUCGCAAGGAUAUGCCUCCCCAACAUGACAGAAUCAAAUACAACGACAGCUAUGGGAACAUUUGGAUACAUCGCGCCGGAAUACUGCUCCCAGAGUGUCUACUCAACAAGGUCAGAUGUUUUCAGCUUCGGCAUCCUAGUUCUCGAGAUCAUAAGUGGGAAGAGGGCUGUCGGUUCCUACCAAUUAUCUGGAAGAUCAUACGAGCUCAGGAAAUAUGCAUGGCAAUUGUGGAGAGAGCAGAGGUGCGACGAGCUGGUGGAUGAUUCGCUGGGCGAGGAGUACCCAGAGAUGGACACUAUGAGGUGCAUCCAGGUCGCCCUCUUAUGCGUCCAGGAUGUCGCGGAGGACAGGCCUACCAUGCGCGAUGUCACGACGAUGCUGAGCAACGGAAACAAGAGGCUGCUCCUGCCUGCGCAGCCCGGUUUUUGCAGCAUACACAUCAACACUACCGAUAAUGAAAUAGGGCUGUGA